AUCAUCACCAUGCGUCAUCACCGCCGCCACCGCCAGUGCCGCUGCCAUCACCACCACGUCAUUUGUUUGAGACUGCCCACCAUCAUCACCACAGGUCGUCUCCACCACCGCCAGUGCCAUCAUCACCACCACACAGUGUUUGAGACGUUAUCACCAAAUUAUGCCAAAUAAAGCUGAAGUCCGUGACAUGCUACUGCUACAACAGAAUGUCUGUUUGACUUAUGAUUGCAAGAACAUGUGCAAGGAAAACAUUUUGUUGCAUACUUGCUGUUGCCUACAUUAAGCACUGUAAUGAGCAUUUGUUUGGUGAGGGCUCAAUAAAAGACGGUUCUUUUUGUUGCACAAAUGCUGCUAUAUUUCGUUCCAGAUGCACAUGAUAUACUAGCCUAUUUAUAUUACAGUACAAUAAAAAAUUAUAUAGUUAAUAUAUUGUCGAGAUAUUUUGCUGAAAACGGUUUAUAAAAUUUAAGUGUUUAGUAGAUUGCAAAUGUAUAUUAUCUGGAUUUGUAGCCAUAUUCUAAUUAAUAGGUCUACAAUUAUACGAUUACACAGAUUAUAAUUACAAAACGUCAAAAAAACCAAAACUCAUGGAUGGCGCAUUCAUCUGGAACUAGAAUACUGGUUAUAUAACGACCAUUUAUGCCAAACAAAAGAGAAAAAUUGUUAGCAAUAAUAAAGUUACAAUUGAUUCUACAAGGGUACGUUUUUUCAUGAAAAAGUAACUGUCCAAUCCAAAUCCUGUAUUAUUGUCAGAUUCGAAUCUAACAGUGGGGACAAGUGAUAAAAAAUCAAAAAAUAAAGCAGUGAUAUGUGAUAAAAAAACUGUAUCACAGCCGGAUUCAGAUGUGUCAACAGUGUGAUAAGUGACGACAAAUAAGAAACACAGUAGUUAUAAGUGAUAAAAAAAUCAAAAAUAUGUGUUUUUUCAUGAUUGACAAGUACUGUUUCAUAGCUCAAUCGUCAGUGCCUUAGUGGCUUCAUACAUGGGGCAAGAGCUGAUGACCAUGUCCCAAUGCUACUAAGCCAGCCAAAAUCGUGUCAGGUCAACCAUGUGCUACGGCUGGGUUGGCCGGGACAGCAGCUUCCAUGCCUGCCGUGAUUUUUCUUGUUUUAUAUUUUUUUUAUUUACUAUCUUUUAACUUUUGGAUGUACUCAUGUGCUUGAUAAUAAGUAAUGCCCAUGGAAAAAUUUUAAUGGCAAUAUCACUCUUCUUGCCAAGCUGGAAAUAGUGAGCAACUCCCUAAUUUUAAUUACUUACUCGUCUUCGUCUGCAUUAUUUACUCUCUGGACAUGUUGAUAUUAGUUACUCCUAGCUAUAUAUAGGUAGCAAACCAAUGCAAUGGGUAAUGCUUGUCUAGUUUACGUUCUGCUGCUUGUGUAGGCUGCUCCAAGUUUGGUCGUCGUUGCUCUCCACCGCCACCAUCAGAGACGUGCUACAUUGAACCAAACCGCGAUCCUUUACGGUGCUACCGGCCGGAAGUGUUAGUCCUUUCACAAGGAAUAUUCCCGCUGUAAAUCGAUAGAUGUGAAUCCACAUGAGUGCUAUUGUAACAAUUAAUUAGCAACACACAUUGUAAUGCAAGGAAUAUCCCAGCUGUAAAACAGAUUUAUGGUCCUACAGGAAGUCUGAUGCAUGCAUGCAUGUUAAAAUAAAUUUGCCUUUCUGUGACCAAACGAAGGUGUACUUUAGUACGGAUUGGAGCAUCUCCAAUGGUUUGUCAUUUGCACUUGCUAUCCUUGUUUAUUUGGCAAAAACUACAAAUUUGAUUCUCCAAUGGUUUGCUAAAGGACUUGCCAAAUUUUGAGGAGUUGCUAUCCAGAGGCGCUCCACGCGCAAAUUUGAGGAGUUGCUAUCCAGAGUUGCUAUCCAUGGUGGUCAUUGCCGCCCCGUCCUCUUGCCUCCGUCGUCCGCGCGGCCGUCCUCUGUCGUCGUCCGUGCGGUCUCCGUCCGUCGUCGUCCGCGUGGUCUCCAUCCAUCAUCAUACGUGCGGCCGUCGUCCAUCAUCGUCUGCGCGGCCUCCAUCUAUCGUCGUCUGCGUGGCUGUUCUCCGUCCCUCGUCCGCGCGGCCUCCAUCCAUCGUCGUACGUGCGGCCGUCCUUCGUCGUCGUCCGCGCGGCCUCCGUUUAAUGACAACGGUGGCCAGCGGAUGGAGAUCGCCGCGAUGAAGCAGCGACGCACGGCGGCCACGAGAGUCACGACAGUUGAACGGUUGGAGGAUGUGGGCCUUUUUUUCUAUUUUACCAAGUCCAAAUGACAAACCAUUGGAGAUACAAGAUUAUUUCACUUGCCAUUUGUUUUAGCCACUUGCCAAAACACAAGAUUUGACAAAUGCAAUUUGACAAACCAUUGGAGAUGCUGUGUCCAUCUGUAAUAUUGUUGCGUAUAAUGGCACUCACACGCUCAGUAUGCUGCUAUAGUAGAAGCACAGUACUGAUCGGUGCAACAGAAACCAUUUUUAGAGAAGCUAUGCGGCUCUAUCAAAAUAUCCCUCUAAAAAUGAUCUCUAUUUUUAGAGGUGGCUGGCAAGUCAAACAGCCUCUACGAAAUGUGAUUAGAGGCAUCUAAACUUUUUAGCAUCCAUUUCUAGAGGUGGUUGGGAAUUCCAGCCAUCUCUAGAAAUGGACUUAGAGGCGGUUCUCAAUUUGGCCAGAUGGCCAUUGGAGGCUCCAAAGAUAGGAUUCCACUAUUGCGGUGGGAGAUGGAGUGGCAAAAUUUCCGAGAGGUGGCGGAGGCGGAUGGAGCUAUAACAUUUAAGGCAGGAGGCCGCGACACUCCACCUUCUGGCUUGGAAAUGGGCCGAUAACUUCGCCUGAGACAGGCCUUGGAAAGGCAGGAUAUAGACGAAUGGCCGUAAUUGAAGCAAAGAUUGUAUCUGAUUGAUCCUCGAUCUACAAGCUUUCUAUAAAUGACAAAAGCCUAGAUACCUGAAGCAUUGGGAGGGGCUGUGUUUGAAUUUAAAACAGAGUCAGUUGCCACAGAAGGCGACGAAUGUGGCAAUAGGAGGCUGCGGGUUUCAGCCCCAAUGCAGAACCACCCUGAGAUUUUGCCAUGAGCGCCUAUUUAGGGUUCCAGCGAGAAAUUGGCCUGAAAUUUCUCCCCACUAGAUUUGAAUUCAAAUUUGAAUUUGGGGAAUGGGCAAAAUUCUGAGGAACAAAAGAAGAACCAAAAAAAUUCUCAUGCUACUGUUUGCAGGGUAAUUCUGAACGAAGGAAAACCAAUUUUUUGAAACGAGCUUAGAUUUAACAAUCUCUGCAAAACUCUUUUUAUUGGAUUUUGAUCCGAUUGUUGUCAACUAAUCCUCUUGUUCAGCGAUCCAAACAUCAUACUCUGUUUUCCAGUUAGGACCCCCUCCUCACCAAAGGCAGAAGAAGAAGAUGGAAAAAAUCUUGCAAGAAAAGCUUUUGAGUUUGCGGAUCAUGAAACCCAUGUUCUUACAAGAGACUGAGAAGCUAUACAUCCAACCCAAAAAGGUGGAAGACAUUGAAAUCCUUAGCAAUGCCUCCAAGGCAUGAUUGAAGAAGUCCAAUGGAGUCCUCAUUGAGAUGGAAAACCGAGCGACUAAAGCUUGCAACAAGAUGGAAUGCAGACAGGAGAAGGGGGGCGCAGGACUCAGCGGGCACCCAAAACGUUGGUGAACCAAUUCCACAAACAUGGUCCCUGGAUCAAAGCACAGAUCGGAGAGCCCAGCCACGGUGCAAUCCAGGAUCAGCAGGGGGCUCCAUAGUCGGCAGUGGGAACAGGGGGAGAGAACACUAGAGGGGAAAGCACUGUCAGGGUUGUCUAUGAUCAACUAUAUUUUAGUCGACAUGGAUACAUAAUGUUUGCUAUGUAUCAAGCAUAAAUCCAUGUGCUUAGCAAAAAAACUAUGUAUCUAAAAACCUAGAAUGACUUACAAUUUGAAAUAGACAGAAUAAUUUUUUUUACCAUUUCACAAAGCACGUAUGUGCUUAUGACCAUUAAUUGUACUGAAGUAUAGAAGCUAACAAUAUAUAGCAAAUUAACUCAAAAAAUGUUGGUCAAUGUGCCGCGGAUCAAGCUCCAAAGGCAGCAUUGCCAAAUAAAAUAAAGUGGUUUCCCUAGUGCAUGAUGAAAAAUAAAGUGCCAUUUCGAUCGAGUAUAUUUGAUCAAAUAUGGGAGAAACAGGACUCUUGGGUAUUCAAUUUUAACCCACUUUUCUAAUUUGGUCAUAACAUCAUUAUUCUAUAUUGGUAAAUGUUAAAAUGUUGUUUAUCAGCAACUGACACUAACUGCACAUUGGAAACCAGAGUAUUCCGUGUUCAUUGGGAAAAAAUAUAUUCAGUGUUCUGUAACAGAAGUUGGCAUUUAGGUUCCAUCAUCGUUUGGCUACAAGUUCUGGAUUUACCUCUACAUUGUUGGAUGGUCUCCUAUUGCUAAAUUGGUUAUAUGUUUGCAGAAGAAAAUAGUUGAUUUUCUACGUCUCCAGCAUGUUCAUAACAUGUUUUAUUGUUGCCCUAGAUAAGUCUAUUUGGUUUUACAAUUACGAGAGCCAAAAUUCAUACAUUCUAGACAUCCAUAUUAGAUUCUACGGUGGUAGGUGAACAAAGUAGUAUAUUUACGGUUGUGGAUGAAUAAGGUAGUAAAUUUGUGGUUUUGUGAUUGUGCUAUUGGUUAUUGCAACAAAUUUACUCUUGAGGAUCUUACUAUACACAUAAGAUAAAUAAAAAAAAUAAAAUCCUAGAUAGAUGAAGAGGCUAAUGCUGUAGAUAAAUAAAUAAAUACAUAAGGUAAAUAAAUACACUUGAGGUGCAUUGAAGGCUAGUUCCAUCAAGAUUGAUGAUAAACAAAUACAUAUUUACAUGCACAAAACAAAUAGAUAGGUAGGUACAGAUAGAGACAUAAAUAGAUUUCUUAUUUUUAAUAAAUUUUGGGCAAAUAGAUAGAUAGGCAGACAAACUCAUAAAUAGUUAGGCAGGUACAAAUAGAUAUAGAUAUAGAUAUAGAUAUAGAUAUAGAUAUAGAUAUAGAUAUAGAUAUAGAUAUAGAUAUAGAUAUAGAUAUAGAUAUAAAUAAAUUUUGACAAUAAAUCUUACUCAAGGUUUUUGGGUACUCCUAUAUAAACACCUACACACUAAUGCCAAAAAGAAAUACGAAUACAAUGCACACCACUUCUUGAUACCUAAACAAGGUGAAACAGGGAAGUAAGGAGGAAAAAAGAAAAGAGUAGUAUUGUCCUCUGGCGUCAGUCACCAAGUGCUAUACAAUGAGGAAUGUAUACCAGACAACUGUUAUUUCCCUGAUACUUAUGAUCAUUUAUUCAACCACUCCAGCAUGUCAAGGUAUAUAGAGAGAUAUAAUUACUUAUUCUUACAUAUUAAUCCAUUCAUUCAAAUAAUAGCUUGCUUUGGCUUUGCGUUAUAAGCCAAAAAUCUCUAAUAACUUCGUCCAAGUUUGAUUUGAAAAAAUUUUAAACUAGUACAUGUCCAGAUAAAAGAAACUAUGAAAACAUAUGUCCUAAAGAAUUUGAUAAAAGUAAUAUGAAGGUUUAGAUGUAUGAGCAUUUUUCUCUAAACUUGGUCAGAAUUAGGAAUUUUUACUUUGAACAAAUCUUGAUGGAGCUAUAGUUUCGAACUGAUCAAGUACCAAUCAACAUGUUUUUAUUAUUUUGUAUUAUGUUGCAUGCAUGUCUAGGCCACGACCAGGUUGAGGCAUGGCAUCAUCUCCACAGUUCACCACCGCCACCGCUAAUGGAAUCAUCACGACCAUGGAGUUUAUCUGAAAUGUCGCACCAUCACCACCACGGGUCGCCUCCGCCACCGCCAAUGACGCCAUCACCAAUACGUAGUUUGACAGAGACAUUACACCAUCAUCACCACAGGUCGCCACCGCCUCCAUCAGUGCCGUCAUCACCACCACACCAUUUGUUCGAGAUGUCGCACCACCAUCACCACAAGUCACCUCCGCCACCGCCAGUAAUGUCAUUGCCAUCGAGAACUUUGUUUGAGACGUCGCACUGGCAUCACCACGGGUCGCCACCGCCGCCAUCAGUGCCGUCACCACCACCACGCCAUUUGUUUGAGACGUCGCACCAUCAUCCCCACAGGUCGCCUCCACCGCCGCUAGUGCCGUCAUCACCACCACGCAUCUUGUCUGAGACAUCGCACUGGCAUCACCAUAGGUCACCGCCACCACCACCAGUGUUGUUGCCACCAACACACAGUUUGUCUAAGGCCCUGUUUAGUUCCCCACCCAAAAAUUUUUCAUCCAUCCCAACGAAUCUUUAGACACAUGCAUGGAACAUUAAAUGUAGAUAAAAAAAUAAACUAAUUACACAGUUUAGUUGAGAAUCGCGAGACGAAUCUUUUAAACCUAGUUACUCCCUGAUUAGCCUUAAGUGCUACAGUAACCCACAUAUGCUAAUGAUAGAUUAAUUAUGCUUAAUAAAUUUGUCUUGCAGUUUCCUGACGAGCUAUGUAAUUUGUUUUUUUAUUAGUCUGUAAAAACCCCUCCCGACAUCCUUCCGACACAUUCGAUGUGACACCCAAAAAAUUUUCGUUACCAAUCUAAACAGGCCCUAAGGGAUCACACCAUCAUCACCAUAGGUCGCCGCCGCCACCACCAGUGUCAUUGUCACCACCACGCCAUUUGUUUGAGAUGUUGCACCAUCAUCACCAUGCGUCAUCACCGCCGCCACCGCCAGUGCCGCUGCCAUCACCACCACGUCAUUUGUUUGAGACUGCCCACCAUCAUCACCACAGGUCGUCUCCACCACCGCCAGUGCCAUCAUCACCACCACACAGUGUUUGAGACGUUAUCACCAAAUUAUGCCAAAUAAAGCUGAAGUCCGUGACAUGCUACUGCUACAACAGAAUGUCUGUUUGACUUAUGAUUGCAAGAACAUGUGCAAGGAAAACAUUUUGUUGCAUACUUGCUGUUGCCUACAUUAAGCACUGUAAUGAGCAUUUGUUUGGUGAGGGCUCAAUAAAAGACGGUUCUUUUUGUUGCACAAAUGCUGCUAUAUUUCGUUCCAGAUGCACAUGAUAUACUAGCCUAUUUAUAUUACAG
rnacentral:lncRNA from 1 species